CACGUAGGGUGCGAGCGUUUGUCCGGAAUUAUUGGGCGUAAAGAGCUCGUAGGCGGUUCGUCGCGUCGGCUGUGAAAUCCCGAGGCUCAACCUCGGGUCUGCAGUCGAUACGGGCGGACUGGAGUUCGGCAGGGGAGACUGGAAUUCCUGGUGUAGCGGUGAAAUGCGCAGAUAUCAGGAGGAACACCGGUGGCGAAGGCGGGUCUCUGGGCAUUAACUGACGCUGAGGAGCGAAAGCAUGGGGAGCGAACAGG
rnacentral:rRNA from 1 species